AGGAUGGAGUAUUGGGAGACACCCACAGUUAGGAGCCAUGAUAUGGAUCUAGUUGAGAUCUAAGUUCUGGAUCAAAGAAGGAGUGGCCAUACAGGUAGGAGGAGAACCGAGAGAAAGCACUAUCAUGAAAGCCAGAGAAGAGAGAGAAUCCAGCACAGCAUAGUCACCACUGGCAAAUUCAGCAGAAGGCUCUGGGAAGAUGUGAACCCUGGGAUGGCCCUCGGAGGGGAAGCUACCACAGCUGAACCCUGCUCCCACUGAACAGAACUGGUUUUCUACAACAAAGGGACGGCUUUGUGAGAAAUGGAUGCAGGCUUUAAGGCUCAAUCAAUAAAUGAGUUCUUGCUUAGGCUGAGUCUUCAGGCAUGGACAGCACAUGCAGAUGACAUCAACAAUGUGAUGAUUUGAAUAGGGAUAAGGGAGCUUCACAAAUUGUCAGCAUUUGGGAAAUACUGAUCUUGUCUUCCCCUGAUCUCAUCUAUUCAUGCAUUAAAAAAAAAUUAUCCUACAGUUCUUGAACCAUAAUCAAACCAGUGCUGCCAUUUCUUUUGGAUAGCGUAUAUCGAUCUACUUUCCUAUGACUGCACUUGC